rnacentral:rRNA from 1 species
UACGGAGGGAGCUAGCGUUGUUCGGAAAUACUGGGCGUAAAGCGCACGUAGGCGGCGCAGCAAGUCAGGGGUGAAAUCCCGGGGCUCAACCCCGGAACUGCCCUUGAAACUGCAGUGCUAGAAUCUUGGAGAGGCGAGUGGAGUUCCGAGUGUAGAGGUGAAAUUCGUAGAUAUUCGGAAGAACACCAGUGGCGAAGGCGACUCGCUGGACAAGUAUUGACGCUGAGGUGCGAAAGCGUGGGGAGCAAACGGG